rnacentral:rRNA from 1 species
UACGUAAAAUGCAAGCGUUAAUCGGAAUUACUGGGCGUAAAGCGUGCGCAGACGAUUCUAUAAGACAGAUGUGAAAUCCCCGGGCUCAACCUGGGAACUGCAUUUGUGACUGUAGAGCUGGAGUACGGUAGAGGGGGAUAGAAUUCCGCGUGUAGCAGUGAAAUGCGUAGAUAUGCGGAGGAACACCGAUGGCGAAGGCAAUCCCCUAGACCUGUACUGACGCUCAUGCACGAAAGCGUGGGGAGCAAACAGG